UGUAAUGUAGUUUAUGGAAAAUUCUUAUUUUACACGUAAGAGAACUCAUUGUUUGAGCUUUACUA
rnacentral:tRNA from 1 species